rnacentral:rRNA from 1 species
UACGUAGGGGCCGAGCGUUGUCCGGAUUCAUUGGGCGUAAAGAGCUCGUAGGCGGCUGUUCAAGUCGAACGUGAAAACUCGGAGCUCAACUCCGAGCCUGCGUUCGAUACUGGACGGCUAGAGUCUGGUAGGGGGAUCUGGAAUUCCUGGUGUAGCGGUGAAAUGCGCAGAUAUCAGGAGGAACACCGAUGGCGAAGGCAGCUUACUGGGCCGAUACUGACGCUGAGGAGCGAAAGCGUGGGGAGCGAACAGG